GAUGAAGAACGCAGCGAAAUGCGAUAAGUAAUGUGAAUUGCAGAAUUCAGUGAAUCAUCGAAUCUUUGAACGCACAUUGCGCCCAUUAGCAUUCUAGUGGGCAUGCCUGUUCGAGCGUCAUUUCAACCCUUAAGCCCUGUUGCUUAGCGUUGGGAGCCUACAGUACUGUAGCUCCCCAAAGUUAGUGGCGGAGUCGGUUUCACACUCUAGACGUAGUAAUUUUUUCUCGUCUGUAGUUGAGCCGGUCCCCUGCCGUAAAACACCCAAUUUAUCAAGGUUGACCUCGGAUCAGGUAGGAAUACCCGCUGAACUUAAGCAUAUCAAUAAGCGCAGGA
rnacentral:misc_RNA from 1 species